rnacentral:rRNA from 1 species
UACGAACUGUGCGAACGUUAUUCGGAAUCACUGGGCUUACAGGGUGCGUAGGCGGCUUGUUAAGUAGGGUGUGAAAGCCCCCGGCUCAACCGGGGAAUUGCGCCCUAAACUGGCGAGCUGGAGUGAGAUAGGGGUGUGUGGAACUUCCGGUGGAGCGGUGAAAUGUGUUGAUAUCGGAAGGAACGCCGGUGGCGAAAGCGACACACUGGAUCUUGUCUGACGCUGAGGCACGAAAGCCUGGGGAGCGAACGGG